GAAUUUUCCGCAAUGGGCGAAAGCCUGACGCAGCGACGCCGCGUGGAGGAUGAAGGCCCUUGGGUCGUAAACUCCUGUCGGGUGUGAAGAAAGCCGCUGGGUUAACAGCCGAGCGGACUGACUGUAGCACCAAAGGGAAGCCCCGGCUAACUCCGUGCCAGCAGCCGCGGUAAUACGGAGGGGGCAAGCGUUAUCCGGAAUUAUUGGGCGUAAAGCGUCCGCAGGCGGCCUUUCAAGUCUGCUGUUAAAGUGUGGAGCUUAACUCCAUUAAGGCAGUGGAAACUGUUGGGCUUGAGUGUGGUAGGGGCAGAGGGAAUUCCCGGUGUAGCGGUGAAAUGCGUAGAUAUCGGGAAGAACACCAGUGGCGAAGGCGCUCUGCUGGGCCAUAACUGACGCUCAUGGACGAAAGCCAGGGGAGCGAAAGGGAUUAGAUACCCCUGUAGUC
rnacentral:rRNA from 1 species